UGGGGAAUAUUGCACAAUGGGCGCAAGCCUGAUGCAGCCAUGCCGCGUGUUAUGAAGAAAGGCCUUCGGGUUGUAAAGUACUUUCAGCGGGGAGGAAGGCGAUAAGGUUAAUAACCUUGUCGAUUGACGUUACCCGCAGAAGAAGCACCGGCUAACUCCGUGCCAGCAGCCGCGGUAAUACAGGAGGGUGCAAGCGUUAAUCGGAAUUACUGGGCGUAAAGCGCACGCAGGCGGUCUGUCAAGUCGGAUGUGAAAUCCCCGGGCUCAACCUGGGAACUGCAUUCGAAACUGGCAGGCUGGAGUCUUGUAGAGGGGGUAGAAUUUCCAGGUGUAGCGGUGAAAUUGCGUAGAGAUCUGGAGGAAUACCGGUGGCGAAGGCGGCCCCCUGGACAAAGACUGACGCUCAGGUGCG
rnacentral:rRNA from 1 species